rnacentral:rRNA from 1 species
CACGAAUGGCGUAACGAUGGCCACACUGUCUCCUCCCGAGACUCAGCGAAGUUGAAGUGUUUGUGAUGAUGCAAUCUCCCCGCGGCUAGACGGAAAGACCCCAUGAACCUUUACUGUAGCUUUGCAUUGGACUUUGAACCGGUCUGUGUAGGAUAGGUGGGAGGCUGUGAAGCGUGAACGCCAGUUUGCGUGGAGCCAUCCUUGAAAUACCACCCUGAUCUGUUUGAGGUUCUAACCCUGGUCCGUGAAUCCGGAUCGGGGACAGUGCAUGGUAGGCAGUUUGACUGGGGCGGUCUCCUCCCAAAGUGUAACGGAGGAGUACGAAGGUACGCUAGGUACGGUCGGAAAUCGUGCUGAUAGUGCAAUGGCAUAAGCGUGCUUAAC